rnacentral:rRNA from 1 species
UACAGAGGUCUCAAGCGUUGUUCGGAUUCAUUGGGCGUAAAGGGUGCGUAGGUGGCGCUGUAAGUCGGGUGUGAAAUUUCGGAGCUUAACUCCGAAACUGCAUUCGAUACUGCGGUGCUUGAGGACUGGAGAGGAGACUGGAAUUCAUGGUGUAGCAGUGAAAUGCGUAGAGAUCAUGAGGAAGACCAGUGGCGAAGGCGGGUCUCUGGCCUGUAACUGACGCUGAGGCGCGAAAGCGUGGGGAGCAAACAGG